GUGAUCCAAUAAACAUAUAUUCAGUUUUGCUUUUGUUCAGGCUCAGCUUGUUGGCCGCCAUCCAAACUGAAAUAUUUGCUAGGUCAUCAUUUAACGUUUCAAAAAUUACUUUGACAUCCUUAUUUGCCGUUCCUAAUUGAGUAUCAUCAGCAAACAUGUCACAAUCCGCACUUUUUAAGCAAUUUGGCAAGUCAUUUAUGUAAACAAGAAAGAGUAAGGGUCCAAGAAUUGAGCCCUGCGGAAUACCAGUAAUUAUUGUUCGUGGUUCAGACAGUUUGCCAUUAACUUGACAAUACUGGGUACGAUUAGACAGAUAGGACCUAAACCAGUCAUGCGCCUUUCCUCUCACUCCAUACAAAUAUAAUUUUUUUAAUAAAAUACCAUGGUCAACGGUAUCAAAUGCUUUUUUUAGAUCUAAAAAGACAACUCCAUUGAUUAACCCUUCAUCCAUAUUUCGAUACCAAUGGUUUGUCAUUUUUAACAAUGCAGUAACAGUGGAGUGGAGAGGUCUAAAGCCAUGUUGUGCAUUAGUUAGUAUGUUUGCCCGUUGUAAAUAGGAAUAGACCUGGUUAUGUACGAGUUUCUCCAUUGUUUUGGCAAUUACCGAAAUAAUACACUGCAAAAAAUCAAAUUCUAGUCUAGAAUAAUAUUCUUAUUUUUUAGAUUAUUUUUCUUAUUUUAAGUAAAUAUUUC